GCCUGGGUGGCUCAGUCGGUUGAGCAUCUGACUUCGGCUCAGGUCAUGAUCUCACAGCUCGUGGGUUUGAGCCCCACGUCCGGCU
rnacentral:tRNA from 1 species